AGAGUUUGAUCCUGGCUCAGGAUGAACGCUGGCGGCGCGCCUAACACAUGCAAGUCGAACGAUUAAAGCACCUUCGGGUGUGUAUAAAGUGGCGAACGGCUGAGUAACACGUGGGCAACCUGCCCCUUUCAUUGGGAUAGCCACGGGAAACCGUGGAUAAUACCGAAUACUUCGAGACUUCCGCAUGGAAGACUCGAGAAAGCUCCGGCGGAGAGGGAUGGGCCCGCGGCCUGUUAGCUUGUUGGUGGGGUAACGGCCUACCAAGGCAAUGAUGGGUAGCUGGGUUGAGAGACCGACCAGCCAGAUUGGGACUGAGACACGGCCCAGACUCCUACGGGAGGCAGCAGUGGGGAAUCUUGCACAAUGGGCGAAAGCCUGAUGCAGCGACGCCGCGUGCGGGAUGAAGGCCUUCGGGUUGUAAACCGCUUUCAGCAGGGACGAGGCGAAAGUGACGGUACCUGCAGAAGAAGCCCCGGCUAACUACGUG
rnacentral:rRNA from 1 species